GGUUGAACUGGUUCUUAUUUAAGUAUGAUGAUUGCUAUUUUAUAGGCAGAGAAUAGGAGGCAAAGACAUUGACAGUGUAUAUUUGCAUUGAUGAGAAAACGUUGUACUUAGAGGCCUGUGUUCAAUGUAAUGACAUUAAUUGCAUUCUUGAUUUUCUAAAAAAUUUGGGGGUUCUUGGAUGGUUUAAGGGUAGAUUCUUGCAGAGGAGAUAAUAUGUUGGGGCUCUUUUUCCAUAAGUAGGUAAAGAUCUUGACCAGAUGUUUGAUAGCUUUGGUCCUUGUGAUCUAUGCCAGUUCUGGAAUUCAAGAAGUCUAUAGCUUAAUUAGUUGUUAGUUCUGGAACUAUACAACAUUUUAGCCAUUAUGUCACAUAAAAUGUCAAAUUAUAGUGUCAAGUUUAAAUACAAUUUGAAAAACCUUUUGUGUGUGUAAGUAACAGAUCUUCACCAAAUUGGAAUCCUGGUUAUUUGCCUGUGUCACACAGAAUUUAUAUAUAUGUAUUUUUAGCUUUUUAGGGCCGCAAAUUUGGUAUAUGAAAGUUCUCAGGCUAUGGGGAGAAUUGCCGGUGGCUAUAGCUACAAUUAGACCCCUAGCCUGGGAACCUCCAUGUGCUGCAGGAGCGGCCCCAGAAAAGGCAAAAAGACAAAAAAAAAAUAAAAAUAAAAAUAAAGUAAAAUUGUAUUAAUCACUCCAAACUACCAUCCUUCUUCAUGAAAUGAUGUAAUAAGCAGUCUUCAGAACUAUUCUAAGAUGAAAGCAAAAUGAAGAUCAAAAUCUGUUAGUUGAUGAAAAUUCCCUUUGUAGUGCCAGCCAUAAAGCAGGAGAAAGCUGUAAUACAAAGACUACAGACUGAAUUAAAUAUUCCUAAAUGAUUAUUUGGGACUAUAGGGGGGAAAACCUUUAUGUCAAAACUUUAACAACUGAAAUGGACUGAAAACAGGAAGAAGUGAAAUACAAUUUAAUUAAACUUAGGAAAGAAAUGGAAAAGUAGGUAAAGUCAUAAGCAGUAAAUUAUGACUAAAUUAUAAGAUCCUCAAGGAAUAGGAAAAUUCAGUGAGGGGCAUUGAAAACAUAGGCAAAAAACCAAGAGUAUGAAAAUAGGAUAAAGGUAAAAUGAGUCUUACAGAAAGUUGUUGAAAUAUAACAACAGGUAGGGAAGAUCUGGCCUGUAGAUAAUUGGAAUUCCUGGAGAAGAAAAGCAAAGCAGUGACACAGAACUAACAUUAAAACUAUAAUAGGGGAGUUCCGUCGUGGCGCAGUGGUUAACGAAUCCGACUAGGAACCAUGAGGUUGCGGGUUCGGUCCCUGACCUUGCUCAGUGGGUUAACAAUCCGGCGUUGCCGUGAGCUGUGGUGUAGGUUGCAGACGCGGCUCGGAUCCCACGUUGCUGUGGCUCUGGCGUAGGCCGGUGGCUACAGCUCC
rnacentral:lncRNA from 1 species